rnacentral:rRNA from 1 species
AUUCCGUGAGUCAUCGAAUCUUUGAACGCACAUUGCCGGUCGACUCUUCGGAGGAGACCACAUCUGCCUCAGCGUCG